GUGGAAUCGAAUGUAGCACAUGAGACUUU
rnacentral:piRNA from 1 species